GCGCCCCCGCCCGCCGAGGCGCUGCCGGGGCUCACGCACUCUGUCUGAAGCCGUAGCCCUUUUAAGCGGCGCGGAGCGGGCGUCACCCGGCGCUAUAAAAGGCGGCGGCGCGGCGGGCGCGGUGACAGCGGGGGCGCGGCACGGCCGGGGCCGCUUCGGGGCCGCCAUGGAGUUCAACGUGAAGAAGCUGGCGUCGGACGCGGGGGUCUUCUUCUCCCGCGCCAUGCAGUUCACUGAAGAAAAGCUGGGCCAGGCUGAGAAGACUGAACUUGAUGCCCACUUUGAAAACCUCCUGGCCAGGGCAGACUGCACGAAGAACUGGACAGAGAAGAUCCUGCGUCAGACUGAAGUUCUGCUACAGCCAAACCCCAGUGCCAGAGUAGAAGAAUUCCUGUAUGAGAAGCUCGACCGGAAGGUGCCUUCCCGGGUCACCAACGGGGAGCUGCUGGCACAGUACAUGACAGAGGCAGCCAGUGACUUUGGGCCAGGGACACCUUAUGGAAAGACUUUGAUAAAAGUUGGAGAGACUCAGAGGCGCUUGGGCGCAGCAGAACGGGAAUUCAUCCGCUCUGCCUCCAUCAGCUUCCUGACCCCGCUGCGCAACUUCCUGGAGGGGGACUGGAGAACCAUCUCUAAAGAGAGGAGGAUCCUGCAGAACCGACGCCUGGAUCUGGAUGCCUGCAAAGCCAGGCUGAAGAAGGCCAAAGCUGCCGAGGCAAAAGCAGCGUGUGAGGGAGAUGCUGUGCCUGACUUUCAGGAAACCAGACCUCGUAAUUACGUGCUCUCGGCCAGCGCCUCAGCGUGCCGAGUGCUCCACAACGUCUCCAACACUGAUCUCCUUUCCUGUUGCUCUGUGGCCCCCACAGCUUUGGAGCGACGAGGUGGAAAAAGCGGAGCACGAGCUGAGGCUCACCCAGAGCGAGUUCGACCGGCAGGCAGAGGUGACCCGGCUGCUGCUGGAGGGCAUCAGCAGCACACACGUGAAUCAUCUGCGCUGUCUCCACGAGUUUGUGGAGUCUCAGACCAACUACUAUGCUCAGUGCUACCAGUUCAUGCUGGAUCUACAGAAGCAACUGGGCAGCUCCAAAGGAGAAAUAUUUUCAGGUACGUUCGUAGGCAACGCGGAAUCCGCGUCUCCCGCAGGCGUUACCUCUCCUCCAGCUGCUGCUGCCACGCUCCCUGCUGUGCCUACAAUCCCAGUGGUGCCCACAAUUGUUGGGGUGCCCAACACCGUGGCAGAGGCUGUGCUGAACCCCAAUGAAGUCAAGCCUCCUGCCAGCGGGACGCGCAGGGCCAGAGUCCUCUACGACUACGAAGCAGCUGACAGCACUGAGCUGGCACUUCUUGCAGAUGAGAUGAUCACUGUGUACAGCCUGCCAGGCAUGGAUCCAGACUGGCUCAUAGGGGAAAGAGGGAACCAGAAAGGGAAAGUUCCUGUCACUUACUUGGAACUGUUAAGUUAAACGUUAAGGAAGAAGAAUGUAAAAGCAGAAUGCACCCCUCAUCUGGCACUUCUAAUGCGGAUUUCCUCAUCCGAGACCAUUGCUCUCUUCAGGGUCGACACUCCAUUGCUAAUAUGGGAACUGGGGGAAAGAAGUGGGAAUACUUAGGUUAUGGUGAGGUUUUGGGAAAGGGCUGAUGGCACCCAAGACUCAAUUCGUUACCUACCAGUGCAGCCUGCUUUGAGGUUAGUCCUGAUGGCACAAGAUUCCUUGAUUACAUUUUCCCUUCCCUGCCCCAGUCUUGUUCCUCCCUGUGGCUUUCCCGGGGUGAGCUCUGUCCCUCAGCAGCUGCUCACCAGUUCCACUCCCCGUGUCAGGUGUGGGUCAGUGCCUGUCUGCCCCUCUCCUCCAGCAGUAGAAUUGCCCAAGUCCACCCAUGGAGCAUUCCAGCGGGGAAGUGUCCCACGCACCCCCUCUGCCCUGUUCCAGCACGCAAGGCAAGGCGGCUGCAGUUAAAAUUUAGGAGCCUGUUAAGCCCACCCACCCUGCUGUCCCCUGGGAGACCAGCAAUGCACAGCUGGCCAGGAGCCACAGUCACUGUCCUGGGGUGGACACUCCCACCUGCCCCUGUCCCCUGAAGCUGGAAGAUUUCUUUGUGAAGACCAACCCGCUACCGUAGGGCCUAACCCCAAACCUCUGUGAAAGGGACCAUGCGUCUUGCUUGCAUUUCCUCUGGGAAAUUGCUCUUGGACUGCAAAGUUUACAAGCCUUUUUACAAGCUUUGCUCCCUGUGUUAUUGUCCGGGCUUUUCUUUCAGUGUGUCUGUCCAGGCAUGUUUUAGCCUGACUUUAUUUCCACCCUGAAUCACUGGUUUAAUGAAUGUUUCCCCUCCCAUGUCAGCAGUGAACAGACUUGGUGCAUCCUAGUGCAGAAAGGGACAGUCCCCCUGCUGUGACCCCCAACAAGGAGCUGUUCUUGGCCACACACACCCCACAACCCAGGCUCAGCUCAGGUGUGUGUGUGCCUGCUCACUCUGGAAUGAACUCUUAGCUAGAGCUCACCUAAAGGACUUCCACUUGAUGUGUCACAAGUUUUCCACUCAAGCUGGAUGGAAGAGAAACUCACCUGCACCAAACUCUGUUCACACCCUUCCCCAGGUAUGUCAGAACUAACUUUGCUUGUUUAUUGAUCUUUUGCACUUUCCCAAAGGUUUCGUGACCAUUCUAAUGUAACAGGGCACUGAGCACCUGUGUUUGUGGGGCUCAUGGGUUUCAGCACUUAUUUGCCAAUAAACAAACUGCCUGACCUCCUG